GCCGCUGUGGUGAAACUGGUAGACGCGCACGACUCAAAAUCGUGUGGGAGCAAUCCCAUGUCGGUUCGAUUCCGACCAGCGGCACAA
rnacentral:tRNA from 1 species